CGGCCCCUACCGACAAACCAAAGCAAUCGACAGUUGAGGAGCAUCUUCCUGGGCAAGACUACCCCGCGGUCGCGGAAAUCAACCCGGACGCGGAGAAGACGAUGAACUGAAACUUAGAGAGAGAGGGGGAGAGAGAGAGAUCAGAUACAGUCUGGCUCCCUCCGAAGCAGCUUGCUUGAAUUUCAGCGCAGGGUUUGUUUCUCGCUGUAUCUUCUUCAUCCCUGCUGCUAGCUCCGACUGCUUCGCAGGCGAGUUGAUCCAUGGAUCCAUUGGCUUCCGCUCGGAUCGACAUCUUUGACAUAUAUCGUCGAUACCGUGACAUUAGAACUGGAAAUACGCCUCUUCAUGCGGAAGAGGGCUACAGGCAAGACAGUGACCUUCAGAAGGCUAGACACUCGAGGGAGGCGUUGGCACGGCUCUUGAAAUUAGCAGAGUCCAGAGUUCGUAUGGGGGUAACAAUUUUUGAUGAACUCUUAGUGCUUAUGCCAAGGCUUGACUUGACGGUGGAUUUUUCGGAAUUCUCUUGCUUCUAUGAUUUUGUUUUCUUCAUGUGUCGAGAAAAUGGUCAAAAGAAUAUUACUGUAGGCAGUGCAAUAACUGCUUGGAAAUUGGUUCUAGCUGGGCGGUUUCCACUACUUAGCCAAUGGUGUGAUUUUGUUGAGAAAAAUCAACGGUACAACAUCUCUGAGGAUACCUGGCAACAAGUGCUAGCUUUCAGCUUGUGUACACAUGAAAAUCUGGAAGGGUAUGAUCCUGAAGGUGCAUGGCCCGUUCUAAUAGAUGAUUUUGUUGACCAUAUGUACAGGUCCUCAGGAUCAUCUCAUUAUAAUUCCAACUUACAAUGUAGCUGCGGUGAUCCCGAUUCACAAUUAUGUAUUUUUGAAGACUUGGUUCCUGGAAUGAAGAAUUUAUCUGGUUUAAAGAGGAAGGUACUGCAUGACACGGGGAAAGAUGAUAUGGAGGCCAUAUAUACUCCCAUCUCUGAUGCUGCUGACUUGAGUCCCUCAAAAAGAAGUAGAGGGAAUACUCAAAAUGCUAUAGAGGAUUGUAAUGGAAUUGCUAGAAACAAUAGCCCGUUGUGUUCAUCUAAAUCGCCAUGUGCAGUUGAGCGCUGUCUGUCAAAGGGCUUUGCAGGACUUCUCUCAACGCGUUCCUUUGUGUAGUCUGGUCGGGAAAGGAGGGCGUCCUUUAUAUGAAGCACCAAUUGUGGUUGAGGUGCACUUGCGUGCGUGAAGUGCAAUGUGAAGUGUAGGAAAGAGGUUCAUUCGAUUUGAUUGUAUUCUCGAGGACGAUGGAGCUGCAUGCAAUGCGAAGGAUUAGACAACUUGGAAUUGCCUCAAAAAUGAGGGAUCCGUGGUUGAAGAAUUGAACGGCUAUACUUUCGAUUGUUCGUAUUUUAUCACUUAUGAUUAUGAUUGCAGUAUAAUCCUUGAAGCACAGAACAGUUGAUACGGCGUCGUGUACUAUAGACCCUUGUGAGAAGUUGGGCUAUUGUAUAAUGCUGUGGCGUGUCAUUGUUUUUAAUGUCACGUGAUUAGCGUGAGAUUCCUCUUUUAAAUUCA